GUGGUCACUUCAGCUCGUAUACUAAAAUAACAAGUAUAUACAGAAGAUUAGCAUGGUCCCUUUGUAAGGAUGAUACAUAAAUUCAUAAUAUGUUUUAUGUAUGU